GCCUUCGUGGUGUAGUGGUCAGCACGCUCGGCCGAUAUUCGAGAGGUCCGAGGUUCGAGUCCCGGCGAGGGCA
rnacentral:tRNA from 1 species